GGGCCCGCACAAGCGGUGGAGUAUGUGGUUUAAUUCGAUGCAACGCGAAGAACCUUACCAGGGUUUGACAUCCUGCGAAUCUCUUGGAAACAGGAGAGUGCCUUCGGGAACGCAGUGACAGGUGGUGCAUGGCUGUCGUCAGCUCGUGUCGUGAGAUGUUGGGUUAAGUCCCGCAACGAGCGCAACCCACGUCUUUAGUUGCCAGCGAGUCAAGUCGGGAACUCUAGCCAGACUGCCGGUGCAAACCGUGAGGAAGGUGGGGAUGACGUCAAAUCAUCACGGCCCUUACGUCCUGGGCCACACACGUGCUACAAUGGUAGGUACAGAGAGCAGCUACACAGCGAUGUGAUGCGAAUCUCAAAAAGCCUAUCGUAGUCCAGAUUGGAGUCUGCAACUCGACUCCAUGAAGUAGGAAUCGCUAGUAAUCG
rnacentral:rRNA from 1 species